rnacentral:rRNA from 1 species
GACGAACGCUGGCGGCGUGCUUAACACAUGCAAGUCGUACGGUAAGGCCCUUUCGGGGGUACACGAGUGGCGAACGGGUGAGUAACACGUGAGUAACCUGCCCACAACUUUGGGAUAACGCUAGGAAACUGGUGCUAAUACUGGAUCUGUGCUCCUGCUGCAUGGUGGGUGUUGGAAAGCUCCGGCGGUUGUGGAUGGACUCGCGGCCUAUCAGCUUGUUUGUGGGGUAGUGGCCUACCAAGGCGGAGACGGGUAGCCGGCGUGAGAGAGUGACCGGCCAAACUGGGACAGAGAGACGGACCAGACUCCUACGGGAGGAAGCAGUAGGGAAUAUUGCACAAUGGGCGCAAGCCGGAUGCAGCAACGCCGCGGGCGGGAUGACGGCCUUCAGGUUGAAAACCGAUUUAAGCAGGGAAGACGCUUUUUGUGACGGUACCUGCAGAAGAAGCACAGGCUAACUACGUG